rnacentral:rRNA from 1 species
UUACCUACGGGGGGCAGCAGUGAGGAAUAUUGGUCAAUGGUCGGGAGACUGAACCAGCCAAGCCGCGUGAGGGAUGAAGGUACAGAGUAUCGUAAACCUCUUUUGUCAGGGAACAAAGGCGGGGACGUGUCCCCGGAUGAGUGUACCUGAAGAAAAAGCAUCGGCUAACUCCGUGCCAGCAGCCGCGGUAAUACGGAGGAUGCGAGCGUUAUCCGGAUUUAUUGGGUUUAAAGGGUGCGUAGGCGGACGCUUAAGUCAGCGGUAAAAUUGCGGGGCUCAACCUCGUCGCGCCGUUGAAACUGGGG